GAAUAUAUAGCUCAGAGGUAGAUUUCUUGCCUACCAUGCAAGAUGCCCUGGGUUCAAUCCCCAGUACCACCC
rnacentral:tRNA from 1 species